GAUGAACGCUGGCGGCGUGCUUAACACAUGCAAGUCGAACGGAAAGGCUCCUGCUUGCCGGGGUCCUCGAGUGGCGAACGGGUGAGUAACACGUGGGUGAUCUGCCCUGCACUUCGGGAUAAGCCUGGGAAACUGGGUCUAAUACCGGAUAGGACCACAUUUUGGAUGGUGUGGUGGAAAGUUUUUCGGUGUGGGAUGAGCUCGCGGCCUAUCAGCUUGUUGGUGGGGUAAUGGCCUACCAAGGCGUCGACGGGUAGCCGGCCUGAGAGGGUGUACGGCCACAUUGGGACUGAGAUACGGCCCAGACUCCUACGGGAGGCAGCAGUGGGGAAUAUUGCAGAAUGGGCGCAAGCCUGAUGCAGCGACGCCGCGUGGGGGAUGACGGCCUUCGGGUUGUAAACUCCUUUCGCUAGGGACGAAGCGUUUUUGUGACGGUACCUGGAGAAGAAGCACCGGCUAACUACGUG
rnacentral:rRNA from 1 species